UACGUAGGGUGCGAGCGUUAAUCGGAAUUACUGGGCGUAAAGCGUGCGCAGGCGGUUUUGUAAGCCAGAUGUGAAAGCCCCGGGCUUAACCUGGGAAUGGCAUUUGGGACUGCAAGGCUGGAGUGUGGCAGAGGAGACUGGAAUUCCUGGUGUAGCAGUGAAAUGCGUAGAUAUCAGGAGGAACACCGGUGUCGGAAGGCGGACUCCUGGCCGGUACUGACGCUGAGACGACGAAGCGUGGGGAGCAAACAGG
rnacentral:rRNA from 1 species